rnacentral:tRNA from 1 species
UCUUAGGUAGUAUAGUGGUUAGUAUUCGCGCUUGUCAUGCGCGAGACCGGGGUUUAAUUCCCCACCUGAGAG